rnacentral:rRNA from 1 species
CAUUACACAACAAAAUAUGAAGGCCUGGCUUCGCGGCCGGCUGAAAUAUUUUUUUCACCCAUGUCUUUUGCGCACUUGUUGUUUCCUGGGCGGGUUCGCCCGCCACCAGGACCAAACCAUAAACCUUUUUUUUAUGCAGUUGCAAUCAGCGUCAGUAAAAACAAUGUAAUUAUUACAACUUUCAACAACGGAUCUCUUGGUUCUGGCAUCGAUGAAGAACGCAGCGAAAUGCGAUACGUAGUGUGAAUUGCAGAAUUCAGUGAAUCAUCGAAUCUUUGAACGCACAUUGCGCCCUUUGGUAUUCCAAAGGGCAUGCCUGUUCGAGCGUCAUUUGUACCUUCAAGCUUUGCUUGGUGUUGGGCGUUUUUUGUCUCCCUCUUUCUGGGAGACUCGCCUUAAAACGAUUGGCAGCCGGCCUACUGGUUUCGGAGCGCAGCACAUAUUUUGCGCUUUGUAUCAGGAGAAAAGGACGGUAAUCCAUCAAGACUCUACAUUUUUAACUUUUGACCUCGGAUCAGGUAGGGAUACCCGCUGAACUUAAGCAUAUCAAUAAGCGGAGGAAAAGAAACCAACAGGGAUUGCCCUAGUAACGGCGAGUGAAGCGGCAACAGCUCAAAUUUGAAAUCUGGCUCUUUCAGAGUCCGAGUUGUAAUUUGCAGAGGGCGCUUUGGCUUUGGCAGCGGUCCAAGUUCCUUGGAACAGGACGUCACAGAGGGUGAGAAUCCCGUACGU